rnacentral:lncRNA from 1 species
CAGUAGCGGUAGUUGUACUUUCUUUCAUUUAUAUGUCUCUUUCAUUCAUUAUUAUUGCUACUGUAUUUUCUACUGACCCGUACUGUUGUUUAGCUCUUCCUGAAUCGUGAUACUAGUACUCCUCGCCUUCUUCGGCUUGCGGUACCCACUGGGAGGGGAGACAUGUUUACAUGUUCUCACCUCCCCCACUAUUUUUCAGGUAUCGCAGGCGAUGUGUAUUGGGACGAGACGUGAGGUACGUUCGUAUUGGUCGAUAGAGCUUCCGACCCAGGUUGUUCGGAUUAGUUUCUUACCCUUCUUAUUUCGGUCGAUGUAUAGUUUAGUUGGUUUAUGUGGUUCAGUAUUUAUUUACAUUUGAAAAUGUGGAUUUCUGGAUUUUGUAAAAUAAAAGGUUUUCUACCCCUCGUGGUAGCGUUUUUAACGAAUAAAGGUUUCCGUGUAGGAAACAGUUUUCAAAAGGACUUUUCGUGGAUUUCUGUUUAAACAUUGAAUAUAAAACUGUGAUGUGAAUGGUGAACGUAUGAAUGUAUAGUUAUCUUUAUAUUCAUCUAGUCGUGGUUGUAUCCUGGUUGUACUCUUGUACUUGUGCAACGCCGUGCAAAUACUGGGGAGACUCUGUCCGGGUGAACAGUGGAUCUCCUGUAUUUGUGGCGGAUCUGGCAUACUCUGGGGCCAAGUUUUUUUAAAAAAAAAAAGAUUUCAGAUGCUUUGGCGCUAUCUUUUAAACUGAAAGGGACCCCGGGGCGUGACACAUUAAAAUGGUAUCAGAGCAAAAGUUACAACCACAACACCAUUCACAGGUUGUUUUGAAAAGUAAAUGAAACUGAGCCAUUGGUUAGGUUGACCUAUAGGAAGACCUACGGUAUAUAGGCACGUGAGUGCGGGGUUUGGGCUUGUGUCCCGGUGUGUAUUCGAGUUUGGUAAACUCGAGGUGCAGGGUUACUUCUAUUCGUACUUCGGUUUUCGCACAAGCUAGUGUCUAAGUCGGGAGUAGUGGAGGUGUACUUUUUCGGACAUCGAGUGGUAGGGCGACGUUCCCCCAGGUGGUGCCACUCCUGUCAGCUGGGGGCCCUGAAGGGCCAGGUGAGAUUUUCGGGCAUAGGCAAGUAUUUUACUGCCGAUGCCCGGGCCACUCUUCCUACUUAGGACACGAGUGCGACUGCGAGUGUCUCUACGGAGAUGGCAUUGAGACCUGUUAAGGUCGCGACUUCCGUGGGGCUACUAGGGCGUAGCCCAGGGUUUGGUUAGCGGUCGUUUAGACGACUGCAUCGUUGUUAUUGCUUCCGCUGAUCUUUGGGUAGGGUUGUGAUGUUUACCUCUUUUCCUUGAUUGCUGAUGAAAUCAGCGGUUUGGAUCUUUGGACCUUUAUCUCGUUCUUCCGCCAAUUGACAUGUACUAGUGUUGGAUUGAUACAGUUUUGAUGUUAGGUCUUUGUUGUUGCAUACAUCGUAUGCGAUUAUUCUAACACCUAAUUGGUGUGUUGUGGGUUAGUCUGUAGUUUGUGGUAUGGUUCGUUGUAUUGUCGAAGUUCUCGGAGCUUUGAUUAUAGCUCGGUUAUGGUGCGAAAAUUGGUUAGAGAAACCAUUUUCUGAAGCAGCCUCAGUUGGUACUGUUCGCAGCUUAGUGUCGCUAGUAGCUUUCGGAUGUUGAAAGCUUUACGACUCCCAGUGAGUUGGUUUACGGUCGGUCUGGUUUCGAAUGUCGACUUGUAAAGUUGAUGUUUCGAUAGUAAUGGUUGUGAACUCGUGGUUCAGUGUUGAGGAAUCAAGUGGUUUGAUUCUUCGACGUGUCACACUUCCAACUCGUUGUUGGCAGUGGAUCUUCGGAUAGUUCGCUUCCUCUUUUGAUAAGUACAUUGGCUGCAGACAAUGUGCUGUCGAAAGAUGAAACGAAAUAUCUCCUUCCUGUUUGGGACUCAUGGAUUGGGUCGGUAUUUCUUUCCUCCGUAGAUAGUCUUGUGAGGAUGGUUGGGUAUCGGUCAUCCUUGACCACGUAGUGGGCCUUGGAUUCUCUUGGCAGGUUUGCGCAGUUGAUUUAUCAUCACUGCAGGUGGUUCUGACUCUGGUUCGAGUCUCGGUGUUCAUAGCUUUUAGUUGUGCUCCCAUUUAGCUAAAAGGUUUGUUGGUUAGUAGUUUCGGUCUGUUGUCUUGAGGUUCAGAAAUUUUGGUUGAGUGACUUGAGCCUAGUUGUUGGCUUUGAUUGUCACCGUAGGUGAUAUUGUGUAAGGAUUGUAUUUCGGCCUAUUGUGCGACUUUGGAAUUGUAUGCUUGUCCGGUUAAUUGGUGACAGGUGCGCCAGGGUCUCAAUGAGACAGUUAUCUGGUGUUGCUCGAAACACCGAUCGCUAGGGUCCCUUGUAGGACGGCAGCGACAGGGUCUCGUAGAGACAGGUGUUGAGCAUCACCGAUGGUUGGUAUCGUAUAGUGCGAUUGGCAAUCCUGUGCACCAAGUUUUGGACUUGCAUGGCGAGUUUAUUGGUUUAGUCGAACCAGUUUUAAUUGAGCAAGCGAAUUGUCGAGCUCAAUUAGUAUUGUCAGCCUUCGACCUUUUCGGUCAGGUGAAAGGUGAGGUUGUGGGACCUAAGACUGUCGAAUGUCAAAGGCGGCUUUCCGUGGAUGUGGACUUGACUUCGGCAGUUGCGUGAUCGGUUAGUGGGAGACUGUAGUCUCAGAGGCUGUUUCUACCGACUCGAGUUUUAGGAGAACGUUUCGUUUUCGCUCGUGGUGAGCAAGUUGAUAUUGUUGGCUAGUCGAAAAUAUUUUGCUCCGAUCUAGGUAAUUAGACUCCAGUUUGGUGGUGUUGGCUCGUGAUUCUUUCUCGUGAACUUAGUGACGUGGUCGAGUCGGUUGAGGCUUUUCGGACCAAGGUUACAGGAUGGUGUUGAUCCCGGUGUGUUAUGGUCCGCAGACUUUGGUUUGGUACGUUUCCCUCGUCUUGUUCUUGUGGAACCGCAGUCCUAUUCUCCCCUUUUCAGAGGUUGAUCUGUCCAAUUCUAGAAUUGUGACUGACCAGUAUCCAAAGGUGUUACCGCGUUGGUGGGGCAAUGUCAGAGUUCGUUUACGGUGGGUACGUGGUCAAGUUUCGAGGACGAAACUUCUUUUAAGGGGGGGAUGAUGUAAGGACUGAGAUUUUUGACAGUGCAACUAAACUCUCUGUUGAUGAUGUUUAUGUGUGUAAUUUAAUUACAUAAGCACUCGUCAAGUUUCAGGAGAAAAUGAGCUAAAAUGGAGAAGAUACGCGAUUUUUAGUUUUCACUUAAGUGAAUAGUAACUCCGGUUUUCCGGAGAAGCCACGGAGUAGAGUUGGCUUCUGGUGCGUAUCGGACUCCGUUCAUAUCAGUCCAAUAGCUCGUUUCGACCGGUUCAGCUGUUCUGGAACUAGUGGCGCUGAUGGAUUUUGAGUUUGACGCACGGAUUUCGAGAAAAUCCAAAAAUACAUGUUUUAUAUGUAUUUGUGUGUGUGUUUCCUUCUAUUGGAAGAAGGUUGGAUUUUGUUGUGAAUCCGUGGUCGAUCGAGAUGAAUCGAAAGUGUAGCUUUGUUGUCUCCGAGGUGCUGAUCGCACUGGUGCAAUCCGUUCGCAAAUCUGACGGACGGAUCUGCGGAGAUCGCGCGUUGAUCGAGGAGAGGUCGGUGAUGGCAAAACGGUAAUUUCGCAAAAGUUGCGACAUUUUAUGUACCGUUUCGCGUGAAAUCGCACGUGGAGGGGUUUAUGCACGUUUUAUUCGUGCGGUGAGGGACUAAGAUUAAAUGGUUGAGUCUUGGAGGACUUUUCGGCAAAAUUACACUUACAUUUAUAAGUUGAUGUUAGAUUUUUUUGCUUGGAAACCCUAACCCUAGGUCGUUCCUGCUAGCCCUAGUCCACCAGCCGCCUCAGCCAUCUCCUGCCCUCCCCGUGCGCAUGCUCCGGCCGCCGGCGAGCUCCUCCGGCCGCCGGAAAUCCCUGCAUCACCUCUCUCUCUCUCCCUUUUGGCCAACCCCUUCACCGCAUUGUGGUUUGCGGACCCUGGUAGCCACCUAGCUCGAGCACCUUUGUCCCCUGGCCGUGGCCCAGCCUUCGGCGACUCCCCUCGUCGCCGCCGUCGUCCCUGCGCACGCCGCCGGAGCCGCCCCAGCUCUCUGCGGCCACCUGCAUGCACCCAGGCCGAGCUUGGGUCAUCUUUGCAUCCGCGCGCCGCCACCGCUCCCUAUCGGCCGCGCCGCCCUCUGGCGACCUCCGGCGACCUCGCGCGCGCCUCCCCGCCGUCCCCGCACGCCGCCGGCCGCCACCCGAGCUCUCUGCGGCCGUCCCGAGCGCGUGCGGGCCCUGCUUGGACCAGUACGGCCUUCGAGGGCCGCCGCCGCCCACCGUCGGGAGCACCACCUCCUCCUCGACCUCCGCCGACGUACCGUCGCCGCCCCGACCUCCUCCGACCGCCGCCACGCCGCCGGGAAGCAUUGAACCCGAGAGCAAGAGAUCGAGUUGAUCUCCUCCGCCGCGCAACUGGCCGCCUCCCGCCGCCGGCCAGCAGGUGCCCCGGACUCCACCGACCGGCCGCACCCUCCCCUGGCCGGGCCGCCCGCCGUCCAGCCACCGGCGGCCAACCCUAGCUCUCCCCUGGCCGGUAAGCUUGUUUUCAGCCUUUCUGCGCAGUGUUUCCUGUUCUACUCACUGUUCCGGCGACCUGAGGCUGUUCCGAUGCCUCCGGAGGUGAGCACGGUGAUCGUCAGUCAGUCCUGAUCACAGUGCUCACCUCACUUAGGGUCAACGAGCCCCUGGUUAGCGAGAUAAGCAUGCUUUUCCUACUGUGCGCGCUGUUUCACUAAUUUUGCGUCGCCCGUGCGCGUGCCACAGUGGCCGGCAGUGCUCCGAAAGGUGAGCACGGCCUCCGGCACGCCGAGACCAGUCAGCGGGAGUCUCGUCUUGGCUGUUUGACCUCUGGUUUGCGUUGUCGGACCAUAAAAGCGCCGAAAUCGCAUGAAAUAAUGCGAUUUCAGGUAUUCAGGAGGGCUUUUAUGCAUUUUGGUUCGUCGUAGCUGCUGUUGGCAGCAAGUGUUGGUUGAGGAUAACCUCUGGACUGAUUGUCCAAGGCCCCAGACCCUUGCGAAGAUCGGAAAUGCAUUUCCGGUGCGUUUUUCGGCGAAAUCCGCCGACGGAACGCGGGUUCGGUUCGGAAUUAUUCCGACGGUGCUUCGUGAGCUUUUGCGUAGUCGCUGAGCCUUGUUGGCUGGUCACUUGCGUCAUUUCGAGAGUUCGGAAAUGACGGGUGAGCGACGGUGGGUUCCGGUGUCGAAUUAGACACUUCCGGGAACCCGAAUCGAAACGAUUAUCCGACGAUAAUUGUUUCGACACGAGGAGUUGUGUUCGCUGCCAUGAUGCAUGAUUAUUUAUGUUUAGUGGCAGCAGGUGACUCGUAGCUCGAGUCGGUAUGUUCCGGGACAGUUCGUGGCUCCCGGCGGAGUCCCCGUGCGAUUACGGGACUUCCGGCGUAUUACGGCGAUCGGUUUGGGAAACCGAUCUCCAUGGGUUUGCUUGUAGGUUGUGGAUCUAGUGGUUAUUAGCUGUGGGUUAGACACUAACCCGGUGGACCUUCCUUAGGUCCGGUUGACGUCCUUUUGCAGUCAGGAGACAGGCGCAGCAUUUGUACAGGUGGGUACUUCGAUCCGAAGUCGGUACAGUGGUGCACGCUCGGUGAUAUUUCUUCUAUCCCUGUUCUUCUGUUGCUAUUUUCGUAUUAUAUAUUGAGCUUGCAUCCCCGUUGUUUCUAUUAUACUCUACUCAUAUGUUUCUAUGCUUAGUAUCAUGUGUAGGAGUAGAGUAGUUUAUCCAUAUGUGAUACCGGUGACCUGAUUGGUCGGUUCUCGUACUUUGUUCCGGUGACCUGAUUGGUCGGUUCUUGUACUUCGUUUCGGUGACCUAGUUGAUCGGUGCUUUUAUCUUAUAUCUGUUGACCUGGUUGGUCGGUUGUUGCAUUAUGUAUUGGGUUGGUCUGUUUCUUGACUUCUGUCGUUCGAUGACCUUUGAGGUCGGUGUACCCUGAGGGGUAGGAUUGUCGGCUGGUGCUGACGGUAGUUCUGGACUAUAUCGAAUACACUCCUGUGACCUAUCGGUCGGUUCUUGCGUUCGUACUUUUAGUUGACAUCGAGCAGUAUCUACAUACUAUCUUUAUUUACUCUGCCUGGUUGUUCUAUGUGUAGUAUCCUGUAUAGGGGUAGAGUAGAUGGCAUUCGUAUAUACUAUACUUGUGACCUGGUUGGUCGGUUCUCCUAUUUGCAUCGGUGACCUGUUUGGUCGUUCGUUACUUUCCGUACAUUGACCUAUCUCGGUCGGUUCACGUUGUUACUUGAUGACCUACACGGUCGGUAUGCCCAGAGGGGCAGUGAUUGUCGGCUGAUUGCCGACGGUUGGCUAUUGAUCAUAUCCGCAUUGAUCGCCACAGCUCGAGUGCAUUUCACGUACACCAGCGGGUUGAUCCCCCGCAGGAGGGUGUUCUUUUCCGGAAAAGUGGUCGUACAUCCGACCCGUGAGCCCAGCGGUGUUCUCUUUGUGCUAGGGUUACAUGCCAGGUGUGAGCAGGUAGUGGCUUUUGCCUGAGGUCCUUAGACCGACACGGCGGUUUAGAUUGGGUACUUUUGGACUUCUCGUCCGGUUGACGCAUAUAGCUAUAGUAGCGGUUGUUGCAUAUGUACUUCUAGUUCUUUCUUUACAGUUGUCUUGCUACUAUAGUUUUGAUAUCCUUGUAUGCUUGCAGUUGUACAUUACAGUAGCGGUAGUUGUGUUUUUAUAUAUAUAUAUCUCAUUCGUUCAUUAUCGUUGCUACUGUAUUUUACUUACCCAUACUGUUGUUUAUCUCUUCCUGAUCCGGUGAGUACUCCUCGCCUUCUUCGGCUUGCGGUACCCACUGGGAGGGGAGACAUGUUUACAUGUUCUCACCUCCCCCACUAUUUUUCAGGUAUCGCAGGCGAUGUGUAUUGGGACGAGACGUGAGGUACGUUCGUAGUGGUCGAUAGAGCUUCCGACCCAGGUUGUUCGGUUUAGUUUCUUACCCUUCUUAUUUCGGUCGAUGUAUAGUUUAGUUGGUUUAUGUGGUUCAGUAUUUAUUUACAUUUGAAAAUGUGGAUUUCUGGAUUUUGUAAAAUAAAAGGUUUUCUACCCCUCGUGGUAGCGUUUUUAACGAAUAAAGGUUUCCGUGUAGGAAACAGUUUUCAAAAGGACUUUUCGUGGAUUUCUGUUUAAACAUUGAAUAUAAAACGGUGAUGUGAAUGGUGAACGUAUGAAUGUAUAGUUAUCUUUAUAUUCAUCUAGUGGUGGUUGUAUCCUGGUUGUACUCUUGUACUUGUG